rnacentral:rRNA from 1 species
GACGAACGCUGGCGGCGUGCUUAACACAUGCAAGUCGAACGGUAAGGCUCCAGCUUGCUGGGGUACACGAGUGGCGAACGGGUGAGUAACACGUGGGUGACCUGCCCUGCACUUCGGGAUAAGCCUGGGAAACUGGGUCUAAUACCGGAUAGGACCGCACCGUGAGGGUGUGGUGGGAAGUUUUUUCGGUGUGGGAUGGGCCCGCGGCCUAUCAGCUUGUUGGUGGGGUAAUGGCCUACCAAGGCGGCGACGGGUAGCCGGCCUGAGAGGGUGGACGGCCACAUUGGGACUGAGACACGGCCCAGACUCCUACGGGAGGCAGCAGUGGGGAAUAUUGCACAAUGGGCGGAAGCCUGAUGCAGCGACGCCGCGUGGGGGAUGACGGCCUUCGGGUUGUAAACUCCUUUCACCAUCGACGAAGGGUUUCUGACGGUAGAUGGAGAAGAAGCACCGGCUAACUACGUGCCAGCAGCCGCGGUAAUACGUAGGGUGCGAGCGUUGUCCGGAAUUACUGGGCGUAAAGAGCUCGUAGGUGGUUUGUCGCGUCGUCUGUGAAAUUCCGGGGCUUAACUCCGGGCGUGCAGGCGAUACGGGCAUAACUUGAGUACUGUAGGGGAGACUGGAAUUCCUGGUGUAGCGGUGAAAUGCGCAGAUAUCAGGAGGAACACCGGUGGCGAAGGCGGGUCUCUGGGCAGUAACUGACGCUGAGGAGCGAAAGCAUGGGGAGCGAACAGG